rnacentral:rRNA from 1 species
GCGGACGGGUGCGUAACACGUAGCUACUUGCCCCACAGUGGGGGAUAACCCGGGGAAACCCGGGCUAAUACCGCAUACACCCGAGAGGGGAAAGCCGAAAGGCGCUGUGGGAUAGGGCUGCGGCGUAUCAGGUAGUUGGUGGGGUAACGGCCUACCAAGCCGAUGACGCGUAGCUGGUCUGAGAGGAUGAUCAGCCACACUGGAACUGAGACACGGUCCAGACUCCUACGGGAGGCAGCAGUGGGGAAUCUUGGGCAAUGGGGGAAACCCUGACCCAGCAACGCCGCGUGGAGGAAGACGCCCUUCGGGGUGUAAACUCCUUUUGCAGGGGAAGAGAGAGACGGUACCCUGCGAAUAAGCUCCGGCUAACUCCGUGCCAGCAGCCGCGGUAAUACGGGGGGAGCUAGCGUUACUCGGAAUCACUGGGCGUAAAGGGUGCGUAGGCGGCUUAGUAAGUUGGGAGUGAAAUCCCACGGCUCAACCGUGGAACUGCUUCCAAAACUGCUAAGCUAGAGUCCGGGAGAGGCCGAGGGAAUUCCUGGUGUAGGGGUGAAAUCCGUAGAGAUCANGAGGAAUGCCGAAAGCGAAGGCGCUCGGCUGGAACGGAACUGACGCUGAGGCACGAAAGCGUGGGGAGCAAACANGAUUANAUACCCUGGUAGUCCACGCCCUAAACGAUGAGUACUANUGGUUGGG